rnacentral:rRNA from 1 species
CAUGCUCUACGAUUGAUGGCUCGGUGAGGCCUCCGGACUGGCUCAGGAGGGUUGGCAACGACCCCCCCGAGCCGGAAAGCUGGUCAAACCCGGUCAUUUAGAGGAAGUAAAAGUCGUAACAAGGUUUCCGUAGGUGAACCUGCGGAAGGAUCAUUACCGAGUGCGGGCUGCCUCCGGGCGCCCAACCUCCCACCCGUGACUACCUAACACUGUUGCUUCGGCGGGGAGCCCCCCAGGGGCGAGCCGCCGGGGACCACUGAACUUCAUGCCUGAGAGUGAUGCAGUCUGAGCCUGAAUACAAAUCAGUCAAAACUUUCAACAAUGGAUCUCUUGGUUCCGGCAUCGAUGAAGAACGCAGCGAACUGCGAUAAGUAAUGUGAAUUGCAGAAUUCAGUGAAUCAUCGAGUCUUUGAACGCACAUUGCGCCCCCUGGCAUUCCGGGGGGCAUGCCUGUCCGAGCGUCAUUGCUGCCCUCAAGCCCGGCUUGUGUGUUGGGUCGUCGUCCCCCCCGGGGGACGGGCCCGAAAGGCAGCGGCGGCACCGUGUCCGGUCCUCGAGCGUAUGGGGCUUUGUCACCCGCUCGAUUAGGGCCGGCCGGGCGCCAGCCGGCGUCUCCAACCUUAUUUUUCUCAGGUUGACCUCGGAUCAGGUAGGGAUACCCGCUGAACUUAAGCAUAUCAAUAAGCGGAGGAAAAGAAACCAACCGGGAUUGCCUCAGUAACGGCGAGUGAAGCGGCAAGAGCUCAAAUUUGAAAGCUGGCCCCUUCGGGGUCCGCGUUGUAAUUUGCAGAGGAUGCUUCGGGUGCGGCCCCUGUCUAAGUGCCCUGGAACGGGCCGUCAGAGAGGGUGAGAAUCCCGUCUUGGGCAGGGUGCCCGUGCCCGUGUGAAGCUCCUUCGACGAGUCGAUGUGUGUGGGAAAAUUAGCGCA